AACGAACGCUGGCGGCAGGCCUAACACAUGCAAGUCGAACGCUCCGCAAGGGGAGUGGCAGACGGGUGAGUAACACGUGGGAAUCUUCCUGUUGGUACGGAAUAGCUCAGGGAAACUUGGGGUAAUACCGUAUAAGCCCGAGAGGGGAAAGAUUUAUCGCCGACAGAUGAGCCCGCGUCUGAUUAGCUAGUUGGUGAGGUAACGGCUCACCAAGGCGACGAUCAGUAGCUGGUCUGAGAGGAUGACCAGCCACACUGGGACUGAGACACGGCCGAGACUCCUACGGGAGGCAGCAGUGGGGAAUAUUGGACAAUGGGCGCAAGCCUGAUCCAGCCAUGCCGCGUGAGUGACGAAGGUCUUCGGAUUGUAAAGCUCUUUUGGCGGGGACGAUAAUGACGGUACCCGCAGAAUAAGCCCCGGCUAACUUCGUGCCAGCCGCCGCCGUAAAAC
rnacentral:rRNA from 1 species